GGAACAUUCUUGUUUCACUAUAUAAAGGAGGGUGAUAUUGGCACUCCGGCCACACCCUUAUAAAUAGCUUCUUUCCCAUAUAUAAAAGGAUAAUUUCUCAUCCUUUUGAUUACAAUCAGCUGGAUCUGGUAGCCCUUGCUUUAACUGGUACGUACCUUUCAAUAUGCGGCAAACUGGUUUAAUGAAGACGACGGAGAAUUGUACAUUUGAAAGAAAUACAAGUUGAGGAAAUUAAGGAACUAUGGCUAGCAGCUAUAAACUUUCUACUGCCUAAUUUCGAUCCCUUAUAUAUAUGUAUGUAUAUAGUGAUUAUUAGCCUUGUUCAUGAGCAGCAAAUCUAUCCACACAAAAGAAAUCAUAUACAAAAUAUAUUUGUUAUUCAAGUGAAAGGAAGAAGAAGAAAAUGUGGAGGUUAAAGAUUGCAGAGGGUGGAAAUGACCCAUACUUGUACAGCACCAACAACUAUGUAGGGAGACAGAUAUGGGAAUUCGAUCCUGAUGCAGGCACUCCUGAGGAGCGUGCCCAGGUGGAAGAGGUUCGUCAAAAUUUCUACAAGAAUCGCUAUCAGGUCAAGCCCAGCGGUGACCUUCUCUGGCGUAUGCAGUUCCUGAAGGAGAAAAACUUCAAGCCCAAGAUACCAGAGGUCAAAAUAGAAGACGGCGAGGAGAUAACAUACGACAAGGCAACAUCAGCAAUAAGAAGGGCAGUCCACUUCUGGUCGGCACUGCAGGCUAGCGAUGGGCAUUGGCCAGCAGAGAAUGCGGGGCCCUUGUUCUUCCUUCCUCCAUUAGUAAUGUGUUUAUACAUAACAGGUCACCUGGACACUGUUUUCUCUGCUGAGCGUCGUAAGGAAAUCCUUCGCUACAUCUACUACCAUCAGAAUGAAGAUGGUGGUUGGGGCCUUCACAUCGAGGGUCACAGCAUAAUGUUCUGCACCGCUCUCAGCUACAUUUGUAUGCGCCUUCUCGGCGUUGGACCUGAUGCUGGUCAAGACAAUGCUUGUGCCAGAGCUCGAAAUUGGAUUCGUCGACAUGGUGGAGUCAAAUACAUUCCCUCCUGGGGAAAGACCUGGCUUUCGAUCCUGGGUGUGUAUGACUGGUCUGGAAGCAACCCAAUGCCUCCAGAAUUUUGGAUCCUCCCUUCAUUUCUUCCUAUGCAUCCUGCAAAAAUGUGGUGCUACUGUCGGUUGGUUUACAUGCCCAUGUCUUAUUUAUAUGGAAAGCGGUUUGUUGGCCCCAUUACUCCUCUCAUUCUUCAGUUGAGACAAGAACUCCACGCUGAACCUUACCACCAAAUCAAUUGGAAGAAAGCGCGUCAUCAAUGUGCCCCAGAGGAUCUCUACUAUCCCCAUCCUUUCAUUCAAGAUUUAAUGUGGGACACUCUAUACAUAUUCACUGAGCCUUUUCUUACUCGUUGGCCCUUGAACAAUAUAAUCAGAAAGAAGGCUCUUGAAGUGACCAUGAAGCACAUUCACUACGAAGAUGAAAGCAGUCGUUACAUUGACAUCGGAUGUGUGGAAAAGGUUUUAUGCAUGCUUGCUUGCUGGGUUGAUGAUCCACAGGGUGACUAUUUCAAGAAACACCUUGCUAGGAUCCCCGAUUUCUUUUGGGUUGCUGAAGAUGGAAUGAAAAUACAGAGUUUCGGAAGUCAGCUGUGGGAUACAGCUUUUGCCACUCAGGCCUUAAUUGCUAGUAAUCUUACAGAUGAAAUUGGAGACGUGCUUAAGAGAGGCCAUGACUUCAUAAAGAAAUCUCAGGUCAAGGACAAUCCUUCUGGUGACUUUAAGAGUAUGUACAGGCAUAUUUCUAAGGGAUCGUGGACUUUCUCUGACCGAGAUCAUGGAUGGCAACUUUCCGAUUGCACUGCAGAAGGUUUGAAGUGUUGUCUGCUAUUCUCAAUGAUGCCACCAGAAAUUGUUGGCGAGAAAAUGGAGACCCAAGAGUUGUACGAUGCUGUCGACAACCUACUUUCCCUACAGAGUAAAAAUGGAGGCUUAGCAGCAUGGGAGCCAGUUAGGGGUCGAAAAUGGAUGGAAAUGCUAAAUCCCAUGGAAUUUUUGGCUGACAUUGUAAUUGAGCACGAAUAUGUGGAGUGUACUGCUUCUGCGAUCCACACUUUUGUUUUGUUCAAGAAAUUAUACCCUGGGCAUAGAAAGGAGGAGAUAGAGAAUUUCAUUAGUAAUGCUGUCAGAUACGUGGAAAAUAUACAGACUGUGGAGGGUGGAUGGUAAGUUCCCAUAGCCAAUGGCUACUGGACUUUCAAUAAAUUAUUUGAGAAAAUAAUUGCAUAAAAAUGCAAUUUAACAACGACAGGUAUGGAAAUUGGGGAGUUUGCUUCAUUUAUGGUGCAUGGUUUGCACUGGGAGGCCUAGCAUCUGUUGGCAAGACUUACAACAAUUGCGCAGCAAUGCGCAAAGGUGUUGAUUUUCUUCUUAAAAUACAAAACGAGAAUGGAGGGUGGGGAGAAAGCUAUCUUUCAUGCCCCGAGAUGGUAUAUUUGAUUGCAUAAUGAAUUGUUGACUUAAAUGGUGAAAGUGUAGACAACAUAUAUAAAAUUCUGAAUGUUGUUGGUCAUCGAUGCAGAAAUACGUACCCCUGGAAGGAGGCCGAUCCAAUGUGGUACAUACUUCUUGGGCGAUGAUGGGUCUAAUUAGUGCUGGCCAGGUCAGUCAUUAACUAAGUUUUAUAGGUAGGAUUAUAUGAGACUUUGUAAUGCUGUUUCUUUUCAUGAAUAACAGAUGGACAGAGACCCUACACCCCUUCACCGUGCUGCAAAGCUCAUAAUCAAUUCUCAGUUGGAAGAUGGUGAUUUUCCUCAACAGGAAAUCGCGGGUGUGUUCAAGAAGAACUGCAUGCUACACUACCCAACAUAUAGAAACAGCUUCACACUGAUGGCUCUGGCAGAAUACCGCAAUCGUGUUCUCCUGCCUUCCAAAGCUAUAUAAAUCCAUCGCAUGAGUCUAUAUAUUUCCAUCACAGGAAGCAAGACCAUUGCAAGAGAAUGAAAAGGUUGAAACUUGUAGUUAUGGAUUGAUAACCUGGAAACUAAAGUCCGAUUGAUGAGCUGGAGUUGUUUAUUCUAGAAGAACACGCGUAGAUUAGUUAGAUAAUUACUCUGUAGUUUGUUAGCUUUCCCACCACUUGUACAAAACUUGUAUAUAGAAUCUUCAAUCUUGAUUGUUCAAUGAGAAGUAGUUGAAUUUUCUGUGCAAUUUCUUUUCUUGUUAUGGUAUAAGAGCAAUUCUUUGUCGCUGCUCUCUUGUUCUUGUGAAUCUUUGCAAUUCUCGC
rnacentral:misc_RNA from 1 species